UGGGGAAUUUUGGACAAUGGGCGCAAGCCUGAUCCAGCCAUGCCGCGUGCGGGAAGAAGGCCUUCGGGUUGUAAACCGCUUUUGUCAGGGAAGAAAUCUUCUGAGUUAAUACCUCGGGAGGAUGACGGUACCUGAAGAAUAAGCACCGGCUAACUACGUGCCAGCAGCCGCGGUAAUACGUAGGGUGCAAGCGUUAAUCGGAAUUACUGGGCGUAAAGCGUGCGCAGGCGGUUUUGUAAGACAGAGGUGAAAUCCCCGGGCUCAACCUGGGAACUGCCUUUGUGACUGCAAAGCUUGAGUGCGGCAGAGGGGGAUGGAAUUCCGCGUGUAGCAGUGAAAUGCGUAGAUAUGCGGAGGAACACCGAUGGCGAAGGCAAUCCCCUGGGCCUGCACUGACGCUCAUGCACGAAAGCGUGGGGAGCAAACAGGAUUAGAUACCCUGGUAGUCCACGCCCUAAACGAUGUCAACUGGUUGUUGGGAAGGUUCCUUCUCAGUAACGUAGCUAACGCGUGAAGUUGACCGCCUGGGGAGUACGGCCGCAAGGUUG
rnacentral:rRNA from 1 species